UACAGUCAGGUCAAAUUCAGUCCCUGUCCCAUCAUGGCAGGAACUGGCCCAGAUGGCUGCCACAACAGAUUCUGCUGCUCAUGGGCCCUGGGUCCCCUGUCCCGGGACCUGGGGAUAAGUUUGGCUGCAGACAUUG
ensembl:snoRNA